CAGCCGCCGCGGUAAUACGAAGGGUGCAAGCGUUACUCGGAAUUACUGGGCGUAAAGCGUACGUAGGUGGUGGUUUAAGUCCGUUGUGAAAGCCCUGGGCUCAACCUGGGAAUUGCAGUGGAUACUGGGUCACUAGAGUGUGGUAGAGGAUAGUGGAAUUUCCGGUGUAGCAGUGAAAUGCGUAGAGAUCGGAAGGAACAUCUGUGGCGAAGGCGACUAUCUGGGCCAACACUGACACUGAGGCACGAAAGCGUGGGGAGCAAACAGGAUUAGAUACCCCCGUAGUCCCUGUCUCUUAUAA
rnacentral:rRNA from 1 species